CCUACGGGGGUCAGCAGUGGGGAAUAUUGGACAAUGGGGGGAACCCUGAUCCAGCCAUGCCGCGUGUGUGAAGAAGGCCCUCGGGUUGUAAAGCACUUUCAGUGAGGAAGAACGCCUGGUGGUUAAUACCCAUCAGGAAAGACAUCACUCACAGAAGAAGCACCGGCUAACUCCGUGCCAGCAGCCGCGGUAAUACGGAGGGUGCGAGCGUUAAUCGGAAUUACUGGGCGUAAAGCGCGCGUAGGUGGCUUGAUAAGCCGGUUGUGAAAGCCCCGGGCUCAACCUGGGAACGGCAUCCGGAACUGUCAAGCUAGAGUGCAGGAGAGGAAGGUAGAAUUCCCGGUGUAGCGGUGAAAUGCGUAGAGAUCGGGAGGAAUACCAGUGGCGAAGGCGGCCUUCUGGACUGACACUGACACUGAGGUGCGAAAGCGUGGGUAGCAAACAGGAUUAGAUACCCCUGUAGUC
rnacentral:rRNA from 1 species